rnacentral:rRNA from 1 species
ACGCUGGCGGCACGCCUAACACAUGCAAGUCGAACGAAGUAGCAAUACUUAGUGGCAGACGGGUGAGUAACAUGUAGGUAUCUGCCCUAUGGCCUGGAAUAACACGAGGAAACUUGUGCUAAUACCGGAUAAGUCUUUACGGAGAAAGCUUUAUGCACCAUUGGAUGAGCCUGCACUUGAUUAGUUUGUUGGUGGGGUAAUGGCCUACCAAGACUGCGAUCAAUAGCUGAUUUGAGAGGAUGAUCAGCCACAUUGGGACUGAGACACGGCCCAAACUCCUACGGGAGGCAGCAGUGGGGAAUCUUGCACAAUGGAGGAAACUCUGAUGCAGCGAUGCCGCGUGAGUGAAGAAGGCCUUUGGGUUGUAAAGCUCUUUCGUCGGGGAAGAAAAUGACUGUACCCGAAUAAGAAGGUCCGGCUAACUUCGUGCCAGCAGCCGCGGUAAUACGAAGGGACCUAGCGUAGUUCGGAAUUACUGGGCUUAAAGAGUUCGUAGGUGGUUGAAAAAGUUGGUGGUGAAAUCCCAGAGCUUAACUCUGGAACUGCCAUCAAAACUUUUCAGCUAGAGUAUGAUAGAGGAAAGCAGAAUUUCUAGUGUAGAGGUGAAAUUCGUAGAUAUUAGAAAGAAUACCAAUUGCGAAGGCAGCUUUCUGGAUCAUUACUGACACUGAGGAACGAAAGCAUGGGUAGCGAAGAGGAUUAGAUACCCUCGUAGUCCAUGCCGUAAACGAUGUGUGUUAGACGUUGGAAAUUUAUUUUCAGUGUCGCAGCGAAAGCGAUAAACACACCGCCUGGGGAGUACGACCGCAAGGUUAAAACUCAAAUGAAUUGACGGGGACCCGCACAAGUAGUGGAGCAUGUGGUUUAAUUCGAAGAUACGCGCAGAACCUUACCAACACUUGACAUGUUCGUCGCAACUCUAAGAGAUUAGAGUUUUCGGUUCGGCCGGACGAAACACAGGUGCUGCAUGGCUGUCGUCAGCUCGUGUCGUGAGAUGUUGGGUUAAGUCCCGCAACGAGCGCAACCCUCACUUUUAGUUGCCAUCAUUAAGUUGGGCACUCUGAAAGAACUGCCAGUGAUAAGCUGGAGGAAGGUGGGGAUGACGUCAAGUCCUCAUGGCCCUUACGUGUUGGGCUACACACGUGCUACAAUGGUAUCUACAACAGGAAGCAAGGCUGCGAAGUUAAGCAAAUCCCUAAAAGAUACCUCAGUUCGGAUUGCACUCUGCAACUCGAGUGCAUGAAGCUGGAAUUACUAGUAAUCGUGGAUCAGCGUGCCACGGUGAAUGCGUUCCCGGGUCUUGUACACACCGCC